UACGAAGGGGGCUAGCGUUGCUCGGAAUUACUGGGCGUAAAGGGCGCGUAGGCGGACAGUUAAGUUGGGGGUGAAAGCCCGGGGCUCAACCUCGGAAUUGCCUUCAAUACUGGCUGUCUUGAGUACGGGAGAGGUGUGUGGAACUCCGAGUGUAGAGGUGAAAUUCGUAGGUAUUCGGAAGAACACCAGUGGCUAAGGCGACACACUGGCCCGUUACUGACGCUGAGGCGCGAAAGCGUGGGGAGCAAACAGG
rnacentral:rRNA from 1 species